ACUAUUUUGGCAGAUAAGUGCGGUGGAUUUAGAAUCUAUUUAUGUGGAUUGGUUUGUUACACAUGUAGUA
rnacentral:tRNA from 1 species